CAGGGAAGUGCCAUCAUCAGUGUUGGAGGCAUGAACAAGCUGCUUGAUUCUGGGCCUGUGUGUGUUGACAUUUCCAUUGUAUUUAAGAGCCCCUCCUCCAACACACACGAACGCGCACAUGACCAAUGAGGGCACGAGAUAAGUUUGUGCACAGAUGGAAGGCUGACAGGCAGGUAGGACAUCCAGUGAUGAUCCGUGAGCGUCCCCUAGUGGAACGAGAACCAGUGAGUCCAGUGCACGGGCUCGCUUUCUUUUCAGUUUGGUGCAACGUGAACCAUCCCACUCUGACAAACAGACUCCGGGAUAUGUCAUUGAUGGUUGCUCAUGAGAUCCUAUGAAUCGCCUAGUCAAUGCUUUAGGGAUGAUUUGUUAAAAAUAUUAGAUCAGACGUUAUGUGUGCUUCAGUUAAAAUUAAGCUUAUUCAUUGCAUUUCAUUUGUUCUUCCAAAGUUACAGUAAAAUAAAAAGGACCCUGACUCGGACAAUACACAAUCCAACAUGUUCAACAGA